rnacentral:misc_RNA from 1 species
AACGCACAUUGCACCUUUUGGUAUUCCAAAGGGUAUGCCUGUUUGAGUGUCAUUAAUAUCUCAACAAAAUAUAACUUUUAUAAUUUGUUGGAUUUUGAAGGCUUGCUGGCUUUUGUCAGCUCCUUUCAAAUGCAUUAGCAGAUCUAAGUAAAUCAGCUUCAGAUUGAUAAUUGUUUUUAUCUAUGCUGCUGCUGGUGAUACUCAUCAGCUUUCAAACUGUCUCCUUGGAGGGACUGUCUGAAUAGACAUUUUGAUCUUUGACCUCAAAUCAGGUAGGAUUACCCGCUGAACUUAA